GUAAACCACAUACUUGAAAUAGUAAUUGAGGCAAACAAUAUUGUUAGUGUUCCCAGAAAGGUGAUAUUUUUGAAUAGCUUUGCAUAUUUAACAAGGAAGAUGUGUUUUGAGCAWUUUUUAAUAAAGUAGUGUUUUACUUUUCCCAUUUCACCUUUGCAGGAAACUACAAAUAUCAGUUCUGGAUUGAGAUUCCAUCCCCAAUCUUGGAUCUUUUAACAUCCCAGAGGGCAGACAUGAAAAAGAGAAAUCCCUCUACUUACGCUGUGAAUAGGUGCUAACAGCUUUAAAGAAUUACCUACCAAAUAUUAGGUGCAAUUUAAAACUACAUUUAAAGGAGCAAGGGCAGUUUAAAAGUCUACCUGGCCAGUUAAAAGUCAGAGAGAGAAAAUUACUUGAACAUGUGUUCUCCGAAUUUUGGGUUGUGUGGGAGAUAUUGCGCUGGUGGAAUAAUAUAGCCUCUGCUUUAAAAAAAUUAGGCAGAUUCUGUAUCUCAUCCACUGUAUGCCAUGCAGUUCGUAGUCACGGGAGAGGGGGCAACAAGGAUUUCGGCUUUGGUCCUUUUCGCAUGGGAUGGAGACUCCAUGUGUGCACAGCACUUCCCUUCGGGGAACGACGGUCCACCACCUCGCUGAGGAAGAACUCCUAACUGCCUCGAGAGUCAGAGAGUCCAAACCAUAACUGGGAAUAAAGGUUUAUUUUGGAUCUCA
ensembl:lncRNA